UUGGCCCUACGGGGCGCAGCAGUGGGGAAUAUUGCACAAUGGGGGGAACCCUGAUGCAGCGACGCCGCGUGGGCGAUGGAGUAUUUCGGUAUGUAAAGCCCUAUCGGCAGGGAAGAAACUGACAGUACCUGACUAAGAAGCCCCGGCUAACUACGUGCCUGCAGCCGCGGUAAUACGUAGGGGGCAAGCGUUAUCCGGAUUCACUGGGCGUAAAGGGAGCGCAGGCGGCACGGCAAGCCUGGGGUGAAAACCCGGGGACCAACCCCGGGAGGGCAUUGGGAACUGCC
rnacentral:rRNA from 1 species